rnacentral:rRNA from 1 species
GACGAACCGAGCGAACGUUAUUCGGAAUCACUGGGCUUAAAGGGCGCGUAGGCGGGCUGCCGCGUCCGGGGUGAAAUCCCACGGCUCAACCGUGGAACUGCCUCGGAUACGGGCGGUCUCGAGGGGGGUAGGGGCACGCGGAACUGUGGGUGGAGCGGUGAAAUGCGUUGAUAUCCACAGGAACUCCGGUGGCGAAGGCGGCGUGCUGGACCCCAUCUGACGCUGAGGCGCGAAAGCCAGGGGAGCAAACGGG